UCUACAAUGUGCGCGCCCUAGCUCUCCACACAUAACUGAUCGUGCACGGUAGUUUUCCCUUUGUCGUUCUUUUCCUGUUGCUCCUACUUCCCACACUUCAUCAUCUACAACCUACUCCAUUUUACCUCCUUCAUCAUCUCCGCCCUCCACGUCAAUCGCCGCCUUGCUACUAUCCUUUGCUGCAAGUUUCGGUCUGUGUUGUGCUCUACCUUGUGCGUCGUUCGCAUAUUGCUGUUGCGUUGACAUCGUUGUUCGUUGUUGCUGCUAUCAUUCUUGGCACCCAAAUUCAGCCAUUGAGAAGAACAGGAGAAGAUCAAUAGGAAGACAAAACUCCCUUUAUUACUCUAGUAUCCAUGACGGCAUGACCGCAUGACCACCCUUGUGGUUUGAUUUUUUAAGGUACUUUCCCUUGGUUUUGCUCAGCUUGCCGCUAAUCUCUUGCUGCUGCCUACUAAUUCUGCAAUUUGCACUUUUGGUUCUCAACACCAGUCAAAAUCUUAAUUAAUCAUCUAUGCUGGAAAACAUACUCAACACUAGCAUUGAGGAGGAAUUUGUGGAGCGAAUUGGUGAAGAGAAAGUCAAUGAAAUUUAUUACCACACAAAAUUAAGUGCAUCUGUUAUUUGUGUGUAUAUGAGGUUCUUGUACUCUGAAGUUUUGGUACAAAACCAAUUGACCGAGAGGUUCUUCUUUCUAUCUCCUCGUAACUUAAGUACCUAUGAAUCUGGAGUAUCUCAAUAUAUAGCUGAUGCACUUAAACAAAAUGAACAGCCAAAUAGAGUAACUUUUGCACCAUACAACAUGGGUGACCACUGGUGUUACUCGUCAUCUACACCUCAGAAUUUGCUAUAGAAUAUUUUGAUUCUUUUGAUGGUGAACCAACUGAUGACGUACAUAUGAAGAAUGAAGGUAUGAAAAACGGUAGAAAGGGGGGGUUUGAAUAACGUUUUCAAGAUAAAGCUUCCACCUUAAAGAUUUUGACAAAUCUUUCGAGAACUUAAGUGCUAAAGAUAAGAGAUAGAAAAGCACACAAGGAUUUUAUCCUGGUUCACUUGAUAAAUCACUCAAGCUACUCCAGUCCACCCGUUAAGGUGAUUUCUUCCUUCUUAGAAUGAAGGCAAUCCACUAAUCAGGUAAGAGUUACAACUGCACUUGAAACCUACAAGUGACUAACAAUUACACUGACUUAGCUCACACUAAGAUUCACUCUAUUAGUCUUCUCUAGGAUCCGAUCAACCUUGAUCUCCUAAAGGAACUAAACAAAGUGUUUAUUAAAGAAUUGUUUACACGAGAUUUGCUUCUAAAAAGCUAAUUGUAAACACAAUGAAUUUCAGAUGAAAGAAAGCUUAGAAGAAUUUGAAUUUGUCUUGCGCGUAUGUGAAUGCUUCUAGCCGCUUCUUUUAGUUUUCAGCCUCUUUUUAUACUCCAAGGAUUAGGGUUGAACGUUGCAUGGAAAAUGCUACCGUUGGAGGGCAGUUCUGGAAAAUCCAGCUUCUGCUGUGUCUGAGACUGUUAGGUAGGUCGUCAGGAAGGUACAGUUGCUUUUGUACUUGGAUAGCGACUUGACCUUAAAACCUAGGAGACUUCUGAUCAGGGGAAUGCUUCAUGUUGGAACUUGUGAAGCCGGUUGAUCAGAGUCAGAGGGAAAGCCCAGAUCCUCUGACCAUUGUAUCUUCUGAUUCUGAACUCAGAGGGAAGUACAUGGUCUUCAGAGUAUCUAGCUUCUGGACAUCAGA